CCUACGGGUGGCAGCAGUCGGGAAUAUUGCGCAAUGGUGGAAACUCUGACGCAGUGAAGCCGCGCAUAGGAAGAAGUUUUUCGGAAUGUUAACCAUUGUUGUUAGGGAAGAGAAAGGACAGUACCUAAGGAGGAAGAUCCGGCUAACUACGAGACCGCAGCCGCGGUAAUACGCAGGGAGCGAGCGUUAUCCGGAAUUAUUGGGUGUAAAGGGUGCGUAGGCGGGCAAACAAGUUAGUUGUGAAAUCCCUCGGCUUAACUGAGGAACUGCAACUAAAACUAUGUUUCUUGAGUGCAGGAGAGGUAAGUGGAAUGCCUGGUGUAGCGGUGAAAUGCGUAGAUAUUAGGAGGAACACCAGUGGCGAAGGCGACUUGCUGGACUGUAACUGACGUUGAGGCACGAAAGUGUGGGGAGCAAACAGGAUUAGAUACCCUUGUAGUC
rnacentral:rRNA from 1 species